UGGGGAAUUUUGGACAAUGGGGGCAACCCUGAUCCAGCCAUCCCGCGUGUGCGAUGAAGGCCUUCGGGUUGUAAAGCACUUUUGGCAGGGAAGAAACAGCCUGGGCUAAUAUCCCGGGCGACUGACGGUACCUGCAGAAUAAGCACCGGCUAACUACGUGCCAGCAGCCGCGGUAAUACGAAGGGUGCAAGCGUUACUCGGAAUUACUGGGCGUAAAGCGUGCGUAGGCGGUCUGUUAAGUCUGCUGUGAAAUCCCCGGGCUCAACCUGGGAAUGGCAGUGGAAACUGGCGGGCGAGAGUACGGUAGAGGAUGGUGGAAUGCCCGGUGUAGCGGUGAAAUGCGUAGAGAUCGGGAGGAACACCAGUGGCGAAGGCGGCCAUCUGGACCAGUACUGACGCUGAGGCACGAAAGCGUGGGGAGCAAACA
rnacentral:rRNA from 1 species